rnacentral:rRNA from 1 species
AACAUGGCGUACUGCUCAGUAACCACGUGGAUAACCUGCCUUUGGGUCUGGGAUAACCCCGGGAAACUGGGGAUAAUACCGGAUAACGCAUAUAUGCUGGAAUGCUUUAUGCGUAAAAUGGAUUCGUCUGCCCAAGGAUGGGUCUGCGGCCUAUCAGGUAGUAGUGGGUGUAAUGUACCUACUAGCCUACAACGGGUACGGGUUGUGAGAGCAAGAGCCCGGAGAUGGAUUCUGAGACAUGAAUCCAGGCCCUACGGGGCGCAGCAGGCGCGAAAACUUUACAAUGCGGGAAACCGUGAUAAGGGGACGCCGAGUGCCAGCAUCAUAUGCUGGCUGUCCAGAUGUGUAAAAUACAUCUGUUAGCAAGGGCCGGGCAAGACCGGUGCCAGCCGCCGCGGUAACACCGGCGGCCCGAGUGGUGAUCGUGAUUAUUGGGUCUAAAGGGUCCGUAGCCGGUUUGGUCAGUCCUCCGGGAAAUCUGAUGGCUCAACCAUUAGGCUUUCGGGGGAUACUGCCAGGCUUGGAACCGGGAGAGGUAAGAGGUACUACAGGGGUAGGAGUGAAAUCUUGUAAUCCCUGUGAGACCACCUGUGGCGAAGGCGUCUUACCAGAACGGGUUCGACGGUGAGGGACGAAAGCUGGGGGCACGAACCGGAUUAGAUACCCGGGUAGUCCCAGCCGUAAACGAUGCUCGCUAGGUGUCAGGCAUGGCGCGACCGUGUCUGGUGCCGCAGGGAAGCCGUGAAGCGAGCCACCUGGGAAGUACGGCCGCAAGGCUGAAACUUAAAGGAAUUGGCGGGGGAGCA